rnacentral:rRNA from 1 species
GACGAACGCUGGCGGCGUGCUUAACACAUGCAAGUCGAACGGAAAGGCCCUGCUUUUGUGGGGUGCUCGAGUGGCGAACGGGUGAGUAACACGUGAGUAACCUGCCCUUGACUUUGGGAUAACUUCAGGAAAAUGGGGCUAAUACCGGAUAGGAGCUCCUGCUGCAUGGUGGGGGUUGGAAAGUUUCGGCGGUUGGGGAUGGACUCGCGGCUUAUCAGCUUGUUGGUGGGGUAGUGGAUUACCAAGGCUUUGACGGGUAGCCGGCCUGAGAGGGUGACCGGCCACAUUGGGACUGAGAUACGGCCCAGACUCCUACGGGAGGCAGCAGUGGGGAAUAUUGCACAAUGGGCGGAAGCCUGAUGCAGCAACGCCGCGUGCGGGAUGACGGCCUUCGGGUUGUAAACCGCUUUCGCCUGUGACGAAGCGUGAGUGACGGUAAUGGGUAAAGAAGCACCGGCUAACUACGUG